rnacentral:rRNA from 1 species
GAUGCAGCCAUGCCGCGUGUGUGAAGAAGGCCUUCGGGUUGUAAAGCACUUUCAGCGGGGAGGAAGGCGUUAAGGUUAAUAACCUUGGCGAUUGACGUUACCCGCAGAAGAAGCACCGGCUAACUCCGUGCCAGCAGCCGCGGUAAUACGGAGGGUGCAAGCGUUAAUCGGAAUUACUGGGCGUAAAGCGCACGCAGGCGGUCUGUCAAGUCGGAUGUGAAAUCCCCGGGCUCAACCUGGGAACUGCAUUCGAAACUGGCAGGCUAGAGUCUUGUAGAGGGGGGUAGAAUUCCAGGUGUAGCGGUGAAAUGCGUANAGAUCUGGAGGAAUACCGGUGGCGAAGGCGGCCCCCUGGACAAAGACUGA